rnacentral:rRNA from 1 species
UCGAGACCGAAAUUAUAUCGAGCGAUUCGGAGAACCCGUGAAAUAAGCGGCGGCCGCAGUCGCCGCGAAACGGCCGUCCCCGCCGUCGGCCCCCCUGUCUGGAGGGGGCCGCGAUGGGGGACGGCUUAUACACCGAACCGGCGCAGACUGGCGCCAAGGGAGCUAUCUAAGAACACGAGCCCGGCAUCGGGUCUUCGUGGGGUGGAGCGGUGCUGCGCACCGCACGUACUGACACGACUCUCGACAAUGGAUAUCUCGGCUCUCGCAUCGAUGAAGAGCGCAGCGAAAUGCGAUACGUGGUGCGAAUUGCAGAAUCCCGCGAACCAUCGAGUCUUUGAACGCAAGUUGCGCCCGAGGCCAAUCGGUCGAGGGCACGUCCGCCUGGGCGUCAAGCGUUGCGCCGCUCCGUGCCGAGUCCCCACCAUCCCGCCGAGGCGGGGGUGCCGGGCGAGGCUCGGAUGUGCAGAGUGGCCCGUCGUGCCCGUCGGCGCGGCGGGCUGAAGAGCGGGUUAUCGUCUCAUUGGGGCCACGAACAACGAGGGGUGGAUGCAAGCUGCCGCGGGCGAGGCCCGCGUUGUCUCGUGCCGGCCCGAGAGAAGAUCACACCCUUCGUGCGAUCCCAUCCCACGCGCCGCCACCCGUGCGGCGGCUUGGAAU